UACGGGGGGGGCAAGCGUUGUUCGGAAUUACUGGGCGUAAAGGGCUCGUAGGCGGCCAACUAAGUCGGAUGUGAAAUCCCCAGGCUCAACCUGGGAACUGCAUCCGAUACUGGAUGGCUUGAAUUCGGGAGAGGGAUGCAGAAUUCCAGGUGUAGCGGUGAAAUGCGUAGAUAUCUGGAGGAAUACCGGUGGCGAAGGCGGCAUCCUGGACCGACAUUGACACUGAGGCGCGAAAGCCAGGGGAGCAAACGGG
rnacentral:rRNA from 1 species